rnacentral:rRNA from 1 species
GCGGACUGGUGAGUAAUACAUAGGUAAUCUGCCUUUUAGAGGGGAAUAACUAGGAGAAAUCCUAGCUAAUACCGCGUAAGACCACACUUAGGCAUCUAAGAGAGGUCAAAGGAGUAAUCCGCUAAAAGAUGAGCCUGUGGCUGAUUAGUUAGUUGGUGGGGUAAGAGCCUACCAAGACGAUGAUCAGUAGCCGAGCUGAGGGGCUGGCCGGCCACAUUGGGACUGAGAUACGGCCCAGACUCCUACGGGAGGCAGCAGUUGGGAAUAUUGGACAAUGGAGGAAACUCUGAUCCAGUGACGCCGCGUGAAGGAAGAAGGUCUUCGGAUUGUAAACUUAUUUUAUCAGGGAAGAAGAAAGUGACAGUACCUGAAGAAAAAGGACCGGCAAACUACGUGCCAGCAGCCGCGGUAAUACGUAGGGUCCAAGCGUUAUCCGGAUUUACUGGGUGUAAAGGGCGAGUAGACGGCGCUGUAAGUCAGCUGUGAAAACUUAGGGCUCAACCUUAAGCCUGCAGCUGAAACUGUAGUGCUAGAGUGCAGGAGAGGUAAGCGGAAUUCCUAGUGUAGCGGUGAAAUGCGUAGAUAUUAGGAGGAACACCAGUGGCGAAGGCGGCUUACUGGACUGUAACUGACGUUGAGGCGCGAAAGUGUGGGGAGCAAACAGGAUUAGAUACCCUGGUAGUCCACACCGUAAAC